rnacentral:lncRNA from 1 species
AGCUAUCGCAGAAGACAUCACGCUAUGGCCGACUGUUUACACAUUGUUGGUUGAAAAAGCUUCGUUUCUUUAAUAUUUCCUGUGCUGUAGUGGACCUUCAGCCGCCACUUUCCUGGCAACACAAUGCCCGUGCCGGUGCAAGGCGCCUACCAACGAGGUCCCAGCUGCUGGGAUCGCGUGAAAAUGGGCUUCACAAUUGGUUUCUGCGUAGGCAUGGCAUCAGGAGCGCUUUUUGGAGGUUUCUCCGCUCUCAGAUAUGGCCUGAGGGGGCGAGAACUGAUCCAGAGUGUUGGCAAAGUGAUGCUACAGGGCGGCGGCACAUUCGGAACGUUCAUGUCCAUAGGAACUGCAAUAAGAUGCUGAAAGUGUAUAACCGAACAUACUUGGCGUGUUGCUCAUCUGUGCAAAGAUGUGUGACAAAGCAAGUGUACGAACAGAAAUGUGUCUUCUUCUACAUCACAGAGCAGUUUACCUUGGCGAUAAAGGAUGUUAUACCUCCCAGUCAA